GAAACUCAAUCCAAAGUUGUCCGUUACUCGGGAUCUACAGAGAAAGAAACAAUUCAAUUUGAUGAUGAAGGUAAACCUCUGUACUCAGGGAAUGAUAAAACUAAAUACAUCACAGAGAACAGAAACCAUGACAUCUGUGUAGCUGACUGGGGGGCUGGUGCAGUAGUGGUGGUUAAUCACGGCGGCAAACUCAAAUGGAGAUACACCGGUCAUCCCUCAGUUACCAAGAACAAACCAUUUAAACCCAUUGGAAUCACAACAGACAGUCAAAGUCGCGUACUAACAGCAGACACUGAGAACCAUUGUAUCCAUAUACUGGAUCAGAAUGGACAGUUUCUCCGUUACAUUGAUAACUGUGAUCUGGAGUAUCCUACUGGUUUAUGUGUGGACAACAAUGACAAUCUGUUUGUGUCUGAGGUAUACAAAGGCCAUGUAAAGAAAAUCAAAUAUCUAAAGUAGACAUCAUCAAUUAUAAAAAUGUGAUGAAAAUCAAACAAAAGUGGUCUUUUUCUGACGUACCGGUAUAUACUGAAUUUCAUUGCUAGCAUUUCCUAUGAAAUGGAUUUAAACUUUGCUUUCCUUUAUAUACUGAUGGAUUCAUAAAUUCUAUUCUUUCAUUAUAUUAUUAAUUCUAUUUUCAAUAAAAAGUAUCUCUAAUCUAAUUCCAUUAUUUAAAGUAGGUAUCAUUUGAGCAUUGUUUGCAUGUUAUAUACAGCUGUUGUACCUUAUCAAAUAAAUUGACAAGUGUCAUGAUCA
rnacentral:misc_RNA from 1 species